ensembl:snRNA U4 U4 spliceosomal RNA
AGCUUUGCACACUGGCAAUAUUGUAGUCAAUGAGGUUUAUAGAGGCAUGAUUAUUGCUAAUUGAAAGAUAUGCUUUAGAGAACUAAAUAUGUUUCUGACAAAGGCAAAGGCAUGUUUUAAAGCUCUUCAUUUCAAUGA